rnacentral:rRNA from 1 species
UACAGAGGGGGCAAGCGUUGUUCGGAAUUACUGGGCGUAAAGGGCGCGUAGGCGGCCUUCUAAGUCGAACGUGAAAUCCCUGGGCUCAACCCAGGAACUGCGUCCGAUACUGGAAGGCUUGAAUCCGGGAGAGGGAUGCAGAAUUCCAGGUGUAGCGGUGAAAUGCGUAGAUAUCGAGAGGAACACCUGCGGCGAAGGCGGGUUGCUGGGCUGAUACUGACGCUGAGGCGCGAAAGCCAGGGGAGCGAACGGG